GUCGGAUUCAGAUCGGUUUCGGA
rnacentral:snRNA from 1 species